rnacentral:rRNA from 1 species
UACGAAGGGGGCUAGCGUUGUUCGGAUUUACUGGGCGUAAAGCGCACGUAGGCGGAUCGUUAAGUCGGGGGUGAAAUCCUGGAGCUCAACUCCAGAACUGCCUUCGAUACUGGCGAUCUCGAGUCCGGAAGAGGUGAGUGGAACUCCUAGUGUAGAGGUGGAAUUCGUAGAUAUUAGGAAGAACACCAAUGGCGAAGGCGGCUCACUGGUCCGGUACUGACGCUGAGGUGCGAAAGCGUGGGGAGCGAACAGG